rnacentral:lncRNA from 1 species
UAGAUUCAAUCAGGCUCUUUCCACCCCUUACACAUGCCUGAAAUAAUCUUCCGUUACUGGAGUUUAGCUGACGAUGCUUUUGUGCAAGAAAGGAAGGGCUCCAGUUAGUUUUUCUGUAACUGAAGCCAUAUGGAAUUGAAACUCGUUGAAUCAAUAAUGAAACAUGUCUGUGUUACAGAGCAGUUCUGGUUCCAAGACAUACAAUGAACUGUUUGCAGAGUCACGUUGCUGGUUAAAACCACAUUUUAAAAAAAUUGGCAAAUAAUUUGAGAAAUCAGCUCCUUACGAGGAUUUGGUCUAGCUGAUUCCUUAAGAAAGUUUAAAAAAAAAAAAAAAUCAGCCUCAAGUUCUUUGCUGGCUCCUUUUGACAGUACAUUUAACAAAUAAGCUGAGGUAAAUGUUUGCCAGCCAUUUAGUCAAGCUGCUUAAAAACAUCUCAAUGAUAUAGAGUCAAAAUAUAUUUGACCUCCUAUUUUCCCAUGCGUCCUUCCCAACAUGUUGUGUCACUGAGAAGCAUAUGAGUUGCUAAGGCAGACUGAGCUGCCUUUUGAGGAGCUACUGCAAUUAAUCCAGCCAGAAAGCCAUGAAUGAAGGAAUAUUUUCAUGACACAUCAAUGUUUCCCUAUUUGGAAAGGACUCGAUAAAUGCCUAACUGAACUUACACAGCAAGUAAACCACAUUUGGAAAAAAAGAGUGUGUGGCCUCAAGACGAGAGCAGUAAAUAGCUUUCCUGUUCUGCCUGCUGGGUAAGUAACCUACCUGCUCAAGAGUAGUAUUUAUUUUAUUUAGGUGUUUGGCAUGAAGGAGGAGGCAGGAGGAAGUUAGAGGUCUUUCAAGUGACUGGAAGUUUCUUCAGUUCCAGUUAGCACCUUCCACAGAUGCCACCUGAAGUCCAUCUAUAUUACAAUUUGAGGCAUGAGAUGUGCUCCAACAUGUGCUGAUGGGAACAGUCCAAGAAGACUGGCUACAGAAGCUCUCUGAGGAAUACAAAAGGCUACCCAGCUGCCCUGAUCCUCUGUGACAAGCUCUGGAAGUGCCAGGAUCCUUCUUUUCGCCCUAGUCCUCCCCCCAGUUUCAGGCCUGCCCAUGCUCUCCAACGUGGUGAACUCCUCACUCACUCGUGGACCAUCUUGCUUGCAGCACGGCAUGCUGCUCCACAGCAUCGCUGCCACGGCAGGUUGGUGCGAGAGAGCUAUAGCUCCUCUAUGAAGUUAGCUUCCGAGUUGCCUCCCUUAACAUUAUCCAAGACUCACAG